rnacentral:rRNA from 1 species
UGGCGGACGGGUGAGUAACGCGUGGGUAACCUGCCCUGUACAGGGGGGAUAACGGUCAGAAAUGACUGCUAAUACCGCAUAAGACCACAGCACCGCAUGGUGCAGGGGUAAAAACUCCGGUGGUACAGGAUGGACCCGCGUCUGAUUAGCUGGUUGGUGAGGUAACGGCUCACCAAGGCGACGAUCAGUAGCCGGCUUGAGAGAGUGAACGGCCACAUUGGGACUGAGACACGGCCCAAACUCCCUACGGGAGGCAGCAUG